AUUCAACGUGAUAUGAAAUGGGAGGGUAACAUAACCUCACAAUUUGGAUUUUAAAGCCGUCACAGACAGGAGACCGUUUGAGCAUGAGAGAAUGCUGUGUAUUGCACAUGGUAUUUGUUCGUAUACUACACAUGGACCAGAAAACGUCGAUUAUAGAUGGAAAGAUGAGGGAAGACUAAGACAACCUUUUCCUACUUUCCAACCGAUGUCUCAGUGAACUAGCCCAGAGUAUCAAUAAACCCAGAGUAGUAUUCGCUACUACCCAUUAAUCUUAUACUCAUUGGUAAAUACAUUUGACUCACCAUUUCCAGACUUCUUGUGAUUCCUCCUCUUUCUUUUUUCGUGGUGAUGUUUCUGAUUUUACAGUUUUGCUGGUCUUCUUUUUUACUUUAGUCUGAAAAAUUUGGUUACAAUUUUUGGGGUAAGAGUGAAAAACGCGGUAUUUGUGAUUUCAAAAAGUAGGACAAGCAAAGGAAUGCUCAGGUACCUGUUUAUAGUCAUUCUCUUCUUCGUCUUCAUCAUCCAUAUGUUUCCUCUUUUUCUUCUUCAACUUUGCAGUUUCUUUUUUUACCUUCUUGCGAGAUGAAAGAGGGAUAUCUUCCUCAUCGGAAGAUUCAAUUUUCCUUUUUACCAUCGAUGAUGAGCUGUUUGUUCUAACAUUCUGUUGUAAGAGAUGUCAAUCUUAAUAGGAAGUAAUAUAUAUCUCGUAAUUAGGAGCAAACUACAGCUUAAGACAAAAUAUUCAGUAACUCCUAUGUAACGGAGAAAAUAGAUUAUUGCUCACUAUGUAUUUGCCAAGUUUUUGUAACAUUUAGAUAAAAUAAGAAUUGCCCAACUGAUCAAGAUCUUUGUCUCGAGAUGACAUAAGAUUAGUAUGUUAGAAUAUACUGCUGCCAGCAACCAAUGUUUUUGGGAUAGGGAAGAAUUCGCGAGAAUAUUGUAAGGGGAAUUCUAGGUUAGAAAACGAAAUUCCCACACUAUUAUUAAGAUUCUGAAUUAAAUUUCCAUUAUUUAAAAAAUCCAGUUCGUGAAUUUAGGUUAGAUUGAACAGCCUUUGAAUCGAAAAUUCAAAACAUUCCCGGUAAACCUAUCACGAAGCAAAAAAAAUUUAGUCAAACAGAUGUCAAGCAGAUUGGCAAACAAAAAAAUAAAUAAUAAUUGACAAGACGGAGCAGCAUCAAACUGGACGAACAAAAAAAAAAAUGAAUUAUCAGUUCAGUGUUAUCUAGUUAUUGAAAUAU